AGCGAACGCUGGCGGCAGGCCUAACACAUGCAAGUCGAACGGCUCUUCGGAGCAGGGGCGGACGGGUGAGUAACACGUGGGAACGUGCCCUUUGGUACGGCACAACUGAGGGAAACUUCAGCUAAUACCGUCUAAGUUCUACGGGGGAAAGAUUUAUCGCCACUGGGGCGGCCCGCGUUGGAUUAGGUAGUUGGUGGGGUAAAGGCCUACCAAACCUACGAUCCAUAGCUGGUCUGAGAGGAUGAACAGCCACACUGGGACUGAGACACGGCCCAGACGCCUACGGGAGGCAGCAGUGGGGAAUCUUGCGCAAUGGGCGAAAGCCUGACGCAGCCAUGCCGCGUGAAUGAUGAAGGUCUUAGGAUUGUAAAAUUCUUUCACCGGGGGAGAUAAUGACGGUACCCGGAGAAGAAGCCCCGGCUAACUUCGUGCCAGCCGCCGCGGUAA
rnacentral:rRNA from 1 species